rnacentral:lncRNA from 1 species
UAUAUAGAGUCCGGCUACUAUACUAUCGAUAGUACCAAGCCCUUGAUACUAUUGAGUUUUCUACCGUUAGAUCUACCAUUUGAUCAUUUCCACCCGUUAGAUCAUACUAUUAAACCAACCACCCACUCAACCCUAGGGGACCACUACCACUAUCAAUUGAACCGGGGACUGCUGUCAUCCUAACCGCACAUCCUUUCAUCCAACGUUCGAAAACUCAAUAGUACCAAGUGCUUGAUAUUAUUGAUAGUAUAGUAGCAUAAUUCUAUAUAUAUAUAUAUAUAUAUAUAUAUUUAGGCUACUAUGCUAUCUAUAGUACGGGAGCUCCCGUACUAUAGUGUUGUUUUCGAACUUAGGGCGUUCAAAUCAACAAUCCACAUCGUUAAAUAUGAUCUAGGAUAUAUGAAGUUCUUAGUAAUAAAAUUUUAGUUCUUUUCGAUAUCGUUUACUUAGUAAAUAAAUUAUGUCAAAAUGGACGGUGGGAAUUGAAUACUCUUUAAAAUUUGAGUAUAGGACUUUUAAAUUCAAGAUCAAGAAUGUUAACCUUAAUCUAUAUAGUUUAAAGAAUUUUCUAUCAAAAUUUGAAGAAAUCUAGAUUCUUCUACACCGUUAAACUCCAAACUCGUCAUAAUAGCUGUUGAAAUUUGACAAUUUUGAAAUAUUUUGAUCAUAAAGUAAACUAUGUCGAAAAAAUAUAAAAUUUUAUUUCUAAAAACUUUAAAU